UGACCAAAUAAUUUCGACCUCACUUUUUGGUCGAAAAAAAAUCGACCACAUGAGGUCGAAAUUUUCAGAUUUUUUUUUUUUUUUUUUUUUUGAUUUCGACCUCAUGUGGUCGAUAUUUAAACAGAAAAUAAAAUUUCGACCGCAUGAGGUUGAAACUUAUUUUUGUACAAAUAAUAAAUGAAAAAAACAUUUUAAAAAAUUUAAUUAUAUAAAUAAAACAAUUAAUAAAAAAAAAGCAUAUUUCGACUGCAUGCGGUCGAAAAUUAAGUCAAAUUUGGUCAAAUCUGACUUAAUUAUUUCGACCGCACGCGAUCAAAAUAAUAAAUUUGAAAAAUUUGAUGUACUCCCCCAACAUCAAUCGUGCAAUUCUCACCAAAAAUACCAAAACCUAAUUUUAUCCCAAACUCCCACCCCCACCACACCCCUACCCCGCCGCCGACGCCCCAUCCCCACCACACCCCUCCCCGCCGCCGACGCCCCAUCCCCACCACUGCCUGUCCUCCGUUGCCGCCCUUGCUGUCCGCCAGAGGGGGGAACCACAUAAGCAAGUUGACUAGUGAUGUAGCUGGGGAGCUUAGUGAUACAUCUGUAAGUUGUGAGGAAACUAGAUCCAAUUCUCAGGCUAUUGCAUUUUCUCCAUUGGAGCAGCAAGUGCUGAAGAAGCCCCAGGUGAUUACAGUGGUUCUGAAAGUUCACAUGCAUUGUGAGGCUUGUGCUCACGAAAUCAAGAGGCGUAUACAAAGAAUGAAAGGCAAGAUUAUUAAUUUUGCUAUUAUUUUCUUCACUCUUUUUCUUUUAUUUAAUUAAUUUGGGAGUAGUAGGAGUACUAUUUUGAUUCAUUAUGCUGAUUUUCUGAUUAUGCUUUUGUUACACUUUUCAGCUGUAUUUGUUAAUUAAAGGACGUUUCUUUUCUCUUUUUCGGAUCUCUACAAUAACAUUGGAUACUUAAGGAUCUCUAUAUUCUAUAUAUGUACCUUUCUCAAUCCGUACAUUCUUUUAUUAGUUAGUAGGAAUAGAAUAUUCAAUUCUUAAAGAUUCUCUUAAAAUUCUUCAGUUUUGAGUUUAAUUCAAGCACAUGUCCUCCACUACUAAUGAAUCUUUGGAAUCAUUAGUAAUAGUAUUGACUGUUGGGUAUCAUCAAAAGUUGCAUAUAUGACUUAGGAAAUUGAUACCAUACAUAAUUAAUUAAUUAAUUUUCAUGGAAGAACCAGCAGGGGCACCAGCUAAAGAAGAAGCAGCAGCAACACAAGCUAAAGAAGAAACUGUUCAAAACAAGUUUAGGUAUUUUAUGAAUUGUGCUGAUAACAUGUUUUGCAUUUCGAUAAAUUGAUCUAACUUUACAAUGCAGGAUGUGUUUGCACCCUGUUUGAAAAGAUCAAUAUGAAAAUAUUGCUAUGUCACAAGAAGACGUAGUUCAUGCUCUUGUUGAUGAGGAUAAUGGGGAGGAAUCGGAUCAUGUCUGUAACACCCAACGUUGACUUUUGGAUUGUAAUAUUGCUAUGUUUUCUUGGAUAUGUAUUUUUUUUUUAUGAUAGUUUUAAUUCGAAUUAGAUGUACUUUUGAAGGUGAAUUUGAUUGUAGGAAGUAGUUUAUGGAUGUUUUAACUUUACGAUGUUUAAGUGUUUGAAUAUAGAAAGUAGUUUAUAGUUGUUUAACUUUACGAUGUUCAAGUGUUUGAAUGUAGUUUUAAGGAUAUUUAGAAGUACUUUAAAUUGAAACUUGAGGUUGAAUUUGAUUUUAGAAUGUGAAGUUUAUGAUUGUAGAAGUACUUUGAUGAAUUGGACGUGUUGAUGAAUUGCAUUGUUGA